GACAGCAUGGCCGAGUGGUUAAGGCGGUAGACUUGAACCUAAAAAAGUCAUCUACUAUCUUCGGAUUCGUGAGUUCAAACCUCACUGCUGUCG
rnacentral:tRNA from 1 species